AGAGUUUGAUCCUGGCUCAGGACGAACGCUGGCGGCGUGCCUAAUACAUGCAAGUAGAACGCUGAAGAGAGGAGCUUGCUCUUCUUGGAUGAGUUGCGAACGGGUGAGUAACGCGUAGGUAACCUGCCUUGUAGCGGGGGAUAACUAUUGGAAACGAUAGCUAAUACCGCAUAACAAUGGAUGACACAUGUCAUUUAUUUGAAAGGGGCAAUUGCUCCACUACAAGAUGGACCUGCGUUGUAUUAGCUAGUAGGUGAGGUAAUGGCUCACCUAGGCGACGAUACAUAGCCGACCUGAGAGGGUGAUCGGCCACACUGGGACUGAGACACGGCCCAGACUCCUACGGGAGGCAGCAGUAGGGAAUCUUCGGCAAUGGGGGCAACCCUGACCGAGCAACGCCGCGUGAGUGAAGAAGGUUUUCGGAUCGUAAAGCUCCGUUGUAAGUCAAGAACGGGUGUGAGAGUGGAAAGUUCACACUGUGACGGUAGCCUACCAGAAAGGGACGGCUAACUACGUGCCAGCAGCCGCGGU
rnacentral:rRNA from 1 species